AUGGGGCCCCCUGUCGUUGGGGUUCCCCAAGAAACAACGUCUCCCAGCGACAUCCAAGUCUUCCUGGUGCCCCCGUCUCCUGCCGCCCUGUAUGUGGACAAGAGCCCCAUGCUCAUCUGCCUGGUGGUCAACCUGCCUAGCGACUCCGGCCUCCAGGUGGUCUGGUCCCGGGAGAAGUCGGGGUCCAUUGUCCCUGAACCCCUGAACCUCACUGAGCAGCUCAACAGCACCUUCACCGCCUCCAGCUCCAUGCCCAUCUUCACCCGCGACUGGGAGGCUGGAGAGACCUUCACCUGCAAAGUGGAGCACUCAGAGCUGCCCUCACCCUUCAUCAAAUCGAUCUCCAAGAAGCCAGGCAGGCGCUCUGCCCCUGGCAUCUACCUCCUGCACCCUCACAACGACGAGCUGAGCAGCUCCGAAGACUCCGUCAGCCUCACCUGCCUGGUGCAGGGCUUCUUCCCCGAGGACAUCUCGGUGCAGUGGAUGAAGAACCACAAACCCAAUGAGAGCUUGGAAUAUAUCACCACCCAGCCCAUCAAGGACAGAGCCGGCGACUCAAACUUCUUCCUCUACAGCAAGCUGAAAGUCAGCAAGGACAGCUGGAACACUGGGGAUAUCUACACCUGCACGGUCAUCCAUGAAGCCCUCUCGAUGAAGUUCACCCAACGCAGCGUCAGCAAAGUCUCUGAGAUGAUCGUGUCAGGUGAGUUUUGCAGCGAUGACGGAGACGAGGAGCUGGACGGCCUCUGGUCCACCAUCUCGGUCUUCAUCACCCUCUUCCUCUUGAGCGUGUGCUACAGCGCCACCAUGACCCUGUUCAAGGUGAAGUGGCUUUUCUCUGCAAUGGUGCAGCUGAAGGAGGCGAAUGGCCCUGAGUACAAGAACGUGAUCCAGCGCGUGGUGUAGGGGCCACUGCCCUCAUCCACCCGGACACAAGAGGCCAGGACUCCUGGCUCCAUUGGCGACACCACCCUGAUUCCCACAGCUGCCCCCCCGCUAGUGCUGUGCCCCUGGGAGAUCCCCCGGGGAGGAGGCAGGACCUCACCCCACGUGGCCUAAUCAGCCCUCAGCCACUGGGGACGCUGCCCUGCUCAGAGCAUGGCUGAGACCGGACAACUCGUAUCAUGCAGGGAACCAGCCCCCUAGCAAGGAAACAACCCCUCGCCCAUUUCCCACCCUCCUGAGCCCAAC